AAUAGGAGGAUGAAAAAUCAUAUUUUUUUUCUUGAUUUUCAGAUUUUCCCUCUUGAAAAAAUUCAAAUUCAACUAAAAAUACUGAAAAUCAGGAGGAAAAAUCUGAUUUGUCAUUCUUCUAUU
rfam:Gossypium arboreum cultivar AKA8401 contig_4281_9, whole genome shotgun sequence.